CGUCGUCGUGUUUGUCAUCAAAUGGGUAAGUAAGGGCAAUAAUGUCAUUUAGAUUCAACCAACCACAGCACUGGAACGGAAGCCCAACCCAAAGACAAAGACAGAGAGAGAGCGCUUCCAGUCGAUGACAAUGGCGUCUUUAGCCUUGAGAGUCUAGAUCGAGUAAGCGAAGUCGUUGAAUCUCAUCGCGAUUUCUAGCCCCAGGUACUCUAUAUUGAAUCUCUCAAUGUGCUUUGGUUAUCGCUAGAGGACGUUGGAUCAUAGGAUUUUUGGAGUUAGGGUACAAUUAGCUGAAAAUUCCUAUUUCGAAAUGCCAUCUCCUUGAGGUUAGCAAGACUGUGGAACAAAAGCACUUAGCUGAUGCUUGUAAAUAGUUUAGGUUUUGAAUCUUCCGGCUCUGUUUCGAGAACUGGCAAGUUGGUUCCCUUUGAAACACUUGAUACUGUUGUUGAGGUCUUGUAAAAUUCUGUAUGAAUCAUUGUGUUUGUGUUUCUUUCUCUUAAACCCUUAAAAACAAUUUGAUAUUAAACAAUUUGAUCAAGUUUACAAGUAUUUAUACACAUACUUACUUUAAUAGUAUGCAGUUAUUGGCUUGUCUUAUUUGAUAGAAUUGGCUAUAGUUGCUUGGACCUCAGAGUUUUGAUCAGUUCCACUGACUAUGAGCAAGAAGCUGUUAGCUUAUAGCCUUAUAGUUAUCAUGUUCUAAUGAUCAAAUGAACUAUUUAAGAACUUACUUUUUGCAAUAUUCAUGACUGUUUCUGGGUGAUUUCGUGAAGCUCUUCGUUUGCAACUUCAAGCUUUUAUUCUGGCUGAUACCUUCGUCUGAUCUUUUAGUCUCUAGUGAUGACCUCAAUAUUCUAGGACUUUCCUUAUUUCAUUGUUGGGGAAACGCUGGCUUAUUGGUUUUGCAAGGGAAUGACCGAGAUUAAUAGAAACUAUUUUUUCAACUGAUUCAUAUAUGUUGCUUUAUUAAACAUUAUCCAUGAUACAUAUGUAUUAUAUAUUUAUAUUGCUGAGUUCACAACUAAUUGUUACUCUAUAACUAUCAGGUUUUUAAAGAUCAAUCAUUUCCUGAAAGAGUAAAACACAGUGAAGAUGUAAACACUGAGAGCAGAAGAGACCAAGACCACAAGCGCUAGCACGGUAUGAAUCGUC
rnacentral:lncRNA from 1 species